GUAGUGAGGAAUCCCCCUGUAUGGACAUUCUACCGUAGAAGGAUGACACAUAGUGAGGAGGUAGUGAGGAAUCCCCCUGUAUGGACAUUCUACCGUAGAAGGAUGACACAUAGUGAGGAGGUAGUGAGGAAUCCCCCUGUAUGGACAUUCUACCGUAGAAGGAUGACACGUAGUGAGGAAUCCCCCUGUAUGGACAUUCUACUGUAGAAGGAUGACACAUAGUGAGGAGGUAGUGAGGAAUCCCCCUGUAUGGACAUUCUACUGUAGAAGGAUGACACAUAGUGAGGAAGUAGUGAGGAAUCCCCCUGUAUGGACAUUCUACUGUAGAAGGAUGACACAUAGUGAGGAGGUAGUGAGGAAUCCCCCUGUAUGGACAUUCUACCGUAGAAGGAUGACACAUAGUGAGGAGGUAGUGAGGAAUCCCCCUGUAUGGACAUUCUACCGUAGAAGGAUGACACAUAGUGAGGAGGUAGUGAGGAAUCCCCCUGUAUGGACAUUCUACUGUAGAAGGAUGACACAUAGUGAGGAGGUAGUGAGGAAUCCCCCUGU